rnacentral:rRNA from 1 species
CCAAUAGCGUAUAUUAAAGUUGUUGCAGUUAAAAAGCUCGUAGUUGAAUUUCGGGAUUGACACAUCGGUCGUGCCUUAAGGGGUAUGAACUGGUGUAGUCAAUUUCUCACCUUCUGGAGAACCGCGAUGCCCUUAAUUGGGUGUCACGGGGAACCAGGACCUUUACUUUGAAAAAAUUAGAGUGUUUAAAGCAGGCAUUUUGCUUGAAUACAUUAGCAUGGAAUAAUAAAAUAGGACGGCAUGAUUCUAUUUUGUUGGUUUCUAGGAUCACCGUAAUGAUUAAUAGGGAUAGUUGGGGGCAUUAGUAUUCAAUUGUCAGAGGUGAAAUUCUUGGACUUAUUGAAGACUAACUACUGCGAAAGCAUUUGCCAAGGAUGUUUUCAUUAAUCAAGAACGAAAGUUAGGGGAUCGAAGACGAUCAGAUACCGUCGUAGUCUUAACCAUAAACUAUGCCGACUAGGAAUCAGACGAUGUUAAUUUUUUAAUGACUCGUUUGGCACCUUACG